GGGGGGGCUAUACUUGCCCAUGUAUCUAAAUAAAGGUACUUGAAUCCUUGAUUCCUGAAGAGUCUUAUCUUCUUAUAUGAUCUUUCGUGCUGCCAAUUGUUUUUAUAUUUAGUAAUGUGUCAUAAUUACUGAGAGCUGUUAAUUACAGGUACUCUGCUAUGUCUUGUAUGUUCUCUACCUUAUUUCCUUGUCAUAUUUUUCUCCCCUCUAUCUUGCCUGUACACUUAUCUUGUCUUGGUUCUUCGAAAAUGCAUCCUGUGUGCUGUGGUUAACCUUACUCCUGAAGUUUUCACCCCUAACUUUUUAUCAUUUAGAAUUAAUUGCUGCUAUCUUUUUGUUAUUAUAUUUCUAUACAUUCAGUUUCGAUAGAGGUUGAAAUAAAGAAUAAAGAACUGAACAAAAAAACUGAAAAAAAGAAAAGGGAAAAAAAGAAAAAAUAAAAGAGAGAACGGUUAGCUUUUUACUGAUCUCCUAAGACUUUGUGCACCUAUUAAGUGUUCCAUAAUAGUUUGAACACUUAUAAAUUCACGAAGUUGAAGGGGAUAAGCUCAAAAACAUGUACACAGUAUUGACACAAGUGAAAGAAAAUUUGCUUCUGAUAUGCUUCUACGGCACCUUGUUUCAGAUGUUGUGGUCCUAAACACCACUUUGAAUCUCUUCUGAUUUUGUUCUUGGUAAAUUUCAUGAUAGACUGUAUGUCAUAAAAUUAGUCUUCCCUGCUCCCACAAAGCCCAUGGGUACUUGGUCUCUUUUAUGUACAAUAUACUAGUUUCCAAUGACACUUUUACAAACUCACUUUCUUUUGAACAACCAAAAUGGCACCAACCUCGUGCUGGUUUGUAGAUCUUGUUUGUAGGAUCUAAUCUUAUUCUAACUCAAGGAUGCAUUACUUGUCUCUGGGAAAUGCCGCCUUAGCACUAUUCCAUGGCUUGUCCAAUUCCAAUAUAAAAAUCCUGUCAUCUUGUGGGGAAAUUGGUUUCAGUGCGUGUGUUGUUUGUCAUGUGUGUGUGUGUGCGCCGAAACACAUGACACACGCAUUGGCAUCCAUUUUUGUAUGUGUGUUUUGUCGUGUGUGUGUGUGUGUGUGUGGAAACACACAUGGCAGCCAUUUUUGUAUGUGUGGUUAUGUUGUGUGUCUUUAGAGUUAAGAGUAGAGGAAGAACUUUGUAUGAAAUUUUCUCAGGCCUUCCUCUGGAAACUGUCUGCCGUUGCUGGAUAGUAGCACUAUGUAGCUCAAUACAUGGCAUCUGUUGCUGGAUAGUAGCACUAUGUGAAAUAUACUAGUUUCCCAUGAAGCUUCUGCAAACUCUGUCAUAAUGACUUUCUUAAGAACAACCAAAAUGGCACUAACUCGUUUUAGUCUAUAGAUCUUGUUUGUAGGAUCUAAUCUUAUCCUAACUCAAGAAUGCACUACUUGUCUGUAGGAAAUGCCUCCUUAGCACCAUUCCAUGGCUUGUUCAAUGUCAAUAGAAAGAUCCUAUCAUCUUAUGGGGAAGUGUGUGUGUGUGUGUGUGCGCGCGCGCGCGCGAGAGCAUGGGUCCCUCUCCCUCUCUCUCUCCCUCUCCCCCCGCCUCUCUCUCUUUGGUGUGUGUGUGCUUGCGUGCGUGCGUGUGGGGGUGUGGGUGUGCAUGGGUGUGUGUUUCUCUCUCUCUCUCUCUGUGUGUUUCUCCCCCCCCUCUCUGUGCAUGUGCGUGUGUGUUUUUUGUGUGUCUAUUUGUGUGUGUGUGUUUCUGUGUGCAUGUGCAUGUGUAUGUGUAUGUGUAUGUGUAUGUGUAUGUGUAUGUGUAUGUGUAUGUGUAUGUGUAUGUGUAUGUGUAUGUGUAUGUGUAUGUGUAUGUGUAUGUGUAUGUGUAUGUGUAUGUGUAUGUGUAUGUGUAUAUGUGUAUGUGUAUGUGUAUGUGUAUGUGUAUGUGUAUGUGUAUGUGUAUGUGUAUGUGUAUGUGUAUGUGUAUGUGUAUGUGUAUGUGUAUGUGUAUGUGUAUGUGUAUGUGUAUGUGUAUGUGUAUGUGUAUGUGUAUGUGUAUGUGUAUGUGUGUUUCUCUCUCUCUUUUUUCUCUUUCUGUGUCUCUGUGUGAGUAUGUGAUGUGAUGGCAUCCAUUUUUGUAUGUGUUUUAUGUUGUGUCUUUACAGUUCAGAGUAGAGGGAGCACUUUGUAUCAAAUUUUGUCGGGCUUCCCUCUGCAAACUGUCUGCCAUUGCUGGGUAGUAGCAGUACAUGCUCGGUGAAGCUCAAUACAUGGCAUCCAUUGCAUAUGCUUCACCUUCUAUGGUCCAUCUUGGCUUCUUGCAAAACUUGUUUGAAGUUAUGUGUUAGCAGAUAUGAAAGUCAGAAUGAUAAAUUAAACAAAAGGAGGGAGCAGCACUACGACGAAAAUGUGCAUAUCUACAGAACUCCAACGGAACAACUAUAAUCAUACAUGAAAGAUACGAAACAAAAGUAGCUGAUCAGAAGAAGCAUUUUCAAUGACUCAAGGUUGUCUCAGCUACAGCCAGCAUCAUUAGGUGCUCAUUUUUUUCCAUGAUUUGCUAACACAGAAAACAGGUCUUUGAAACGUAGAAGCAACACACCUAGCAACUUCAUGAGGCAAAAUCCAGGAAAAGUGGUCAGUGAAUUGAUAGAAAUAAUGAAUAUAGUUGUGGAUCUACACCGGGAGAGGAAGGAACAUCUAAGCUUCAUAUUGAAAAGAAGACUUUAGUCAAGUCUUCUUGCUCCACUCAAGUCUUUUUUCUCCACUCUACUAGUAUUCAACUUAAAUUUUUUUGUUUGUAGUAUAUUUUCCUACCCACUUAUGUGUACUUUAACCAAAAGUAUUUACUCGGUUAGAGUAGUAACAUUGUUGUUAACUAUUGUAGUAGGUGUUAGAUGGUAACUGUUUAAGUACUUGUCUUAAAGUAGAAUUGUGGGUAAAAAUAAUUGGCGAAUAAGUAAAGGAAACUAUAUGUUUACAUAAUGUUAAGAAAAAAAUUACCCUUCUUUUGAAGGGAACUCUUAAAUCCUAACUAUAUCAAAGUGUAAUGUGGAAGAUAAAGCGUAACCAACAACACUCUAGUCCAUUACUACAUAAUUCAAUACGUCUCCACAUUCCACAACUAGCGAUAUACAAUGCCUACUUUAUUCUCUUCAUAGUAAAUACCUCUUUAUGGUCCCUCUUGGCUUCUUGCAAAAUUUGUUUGAAGUUAUGUGUUAACAAACGUGAAAGUCAGAAUGAUACAUUCAAUAAAAGGAGGGAGCGGCACUAUGACAAAAUGCACAUAUCUACAGAACUCAAAUGGAACAACUAUAAUCAUACCUGAAAAAUACGAAACAAUAGUAGCUGAUCGGAAGAAGCAUUUUCAAUGAGAACCCAGCUACAGCCAACAUCAUUUGGUGCUCCUUUUUUUCCAUGUUUAGCAUCCUGAUUGUUGGGGUUAUAUGAUUAGCUAACUCGGAAACAAGUUAGUUAUAGCACUUCUAAUUUUUUGUUUAGUACUUCCUCCGUUUCCUAAAGAUCUUCCCACUUACUGUUUCUACAGAUACCAAGGAAAAUCAAGUUGUGUGGGGCAUGGUGUGAGUAAAGUAGGAGAGAGAAAGGAGUUAAGAUAAAUAAACAAAUAAAAAAGGGUUAAAGUAGGAGAGAGAAAUGGAGUAAAAUUGAAUUAAUAAUGUAAUGGUAGACCAUAUGAUAGUGACAUGAGAGGGUAAAUCGGGAAAUUUGUUUUGCCAAAUAAGGAAUAAAGCAAAAGAGGGAAGAUCUUUUGGAAACACCCUUAAAUGAAAAGAGGGAAGAUCUUUAGGAAACGAAGGGAGUAUUUGAUUGAGAUUCAAAUACAUAUCGUCUAAUCUUUUUGGUCUCUGAAACAUAGUAGCACAUACAGAGAUUGAUACACCUACACACUGAGUCUACCAAUUAUUAAUGUCUAUUUUUAGUGGGUUGAUUAUCCAGUGGGUAGAUAAAGUUUUUUCCAGUACGUACCAAGCAACUUCAUGAGGCAAAAUCUAGAAAAAAGCGGUCAAUGGACUGGAUAGAAAUAAUGAAUAUAGUUAUGGAUCUACAUCGGAAUAGGAAGGAACCUCUCAGGUUCGUAUCAAAGAGAAGACUCUAGUCAAGUCUUCGUUCUCCAAUCUACUGGUAAUAAUUAGUCUGGUAGUCAAUUUUAUUUAUUUUUGGUUAUGUAUUCUCCUACCCGCUUCUGUGUACUUUUUAACUAAUAAAGUAUUUGUUCAGUUAAGGUAGUAGGCAUUGUUGUUAACUAUUGUAGUUGGUCUUAGAUGGUAACUAUUCAAGUACUUGUCCUAAACCAGAAUUGUUGGUGAAAAAAAAAUCGAAUAAGUAAAAGAAAAUAUAUAUAGAUGGAAGUCAAAAAUAGAUUGAAAAAACUCUCUACGAAGCUUCUUGAGAGCACGAAAGUGAGCGCCACGUAGCCCGCCGGCAGCCAUAUCAGCGCACUGGUUGCCGGUGAGCAUUCCUCCGACAUCCUUUUCGACUGCCUGGGCUCUGGCGAGACCUUUAUCGGCAGUAAUAAAUUUCAAUAUCACUAUUCUCUACCUCUUUGCUUCACUUUUGAGGUUAGUUGGUAAAUACUUUCCUAAUAUACCUUCUACUGCCGUUACUCUGUUUGUUCUGUUUGAGUAUUUCAUAGUUUUAAGCUUGAGUUUACUUGUUCAGAGUUCCUUCCACUGAGUAGGGGUUCAAUAAAGUUGAAGCUUCAGGUUAAGCGUUGUUGUUUGGGUUCUAGUAUUAUCUAGAGUUUGUUUAUUGUGGUUCUUUAUGAUGUUUUCAUUGGAGGGUUAUAAGUGUUUUAAGUGGGAGAUUGAUCGGCUCCUCACUGAGGGAGUGGAUUUAAUGGAGGAAGAUGAGUGCUUUAUGGAGUUAAUUUCAAGUUCUAAGAAUUCAAAAGGUGUUAUUGAUGUUGUAAAAGAGAUAAAGAAAGAAGGUAAUCUUCUAUUUCAACAAAGGAAAAUUGAUGAUGCCUUAGAGAAGUAUGGUUAUGCGGGGGAUCAUUCUUGUUCGAUAUGAUUUUGUAGAGGAAAAGGAAAUGAUUUAAUGUUUUGAGUUAGUUAUUUGUACUCUUAAACUCUGUUGCUUGUUUUAGUAGGAAAAAUGAGUUUGAGCAGGUAGUAGGUUGGAUUUGCUCAAUUGUCUUAGACUUCAACCCAAAUAGUGUUAAAGCAUUGUUUAGAAAGAACUCGUAAAAAGACAGUGGGUUUAUUGGGAUUUAUUGAUGGACGAUGGCAGCCAAGAUUGAACAUGGGAAGCCAGAGGUAUCCAUGAAACUUGAAGAAAUCAAAAGCUUUGUGUAUAAGGGACGGUCAAAAAUGAACUUGGAGAUUGACAUUCCAAAAGAUUUAGAGCUAGGAAUUUCUUCUUCAAACAAGCAGAUAAAGCAGUAUAUGAAUAAUAAGGAUAGUUUGGAGAAGGACAAUGAGAAAGGGAAUGAAGUUUUGAGAAGGACAAUGAGAAAGGGAAUGACUAUUCGACGAGUUUGAUUGAUAAGAAGGAAACUCAUAGUGUAUCUAUUACAGAAGUCAAUGAAUCACAUGAUUGUCCAAGUGAGAUAGGAGGAAAUAUUUUAUCUAUCUGGAGGUUGAGAGGAGGGAGGUUGUUGCGAGCACCCCUAACUUUGAAAUUUCUAAUUUGGUGAGCUUAAAAACAUAAGAUUGAGGUCUUCAUGUCUUUUGGAUUAUGUGACUUAUGUCCAAAAGCAUAUAUCUUCCUAGUUCCUUAAUAUAUCCCGCGAGGAUAUCAAAAGAUUGCUACAAGGAAAAGAGAUGCAUUUCUGUUACUUCCAUUCCAGGUUGAUGUCAAUUCGUAUCUUAGAAACAAAAAACCAUAUCAAGAUGAAGGCACACCACAAACAAGAUUUGAAGGAAGCAGAGGUCUAACUAUGGUGACUUCCAUGAAGACUGUCACCAGUUCCAUUAAUCAGUCAAGUUUUCAGCACGAGGAUACAUAAAGACAAGAAGGUGCAAUUUAUGAAGCAAUCCAGCAGAAGGUAGUUUAUGCAAAAAAGCCAAAGCCAGAUGCGGAAUUGAUGAACAAGGGUCAUGUAUCAUCAAAAAGCCCAAUGGUGUCCGCAAAGAGGAAAGUAGCUAGCGAAGCAAGGACGAGAGCACUAAGGAUUGCUAAGUCUAACAUACAAAAGGCUUUGCUGAAUGGCAAUUUGAGAUCACUCAAAGGCUUGCAUCCAGGAGAAAACCAAGGUCAAGGUGCUUUCCGUAUGCAGCUUCAAAGUCUCGUCCCCCGGGUGUUGGUUGUAAGUGCAAAUUAGUUCGCGUAAAUGUGAACCCCCCCCCCCCCUUUAAGAAGCGUACUGUUAGUGUGACGUUCUGUAGAAUAUGUUCUAGGCAUAAUGUGUCUACCCAUGAUAUGACUUGUUGUCACUCGUCAGAGUUCAUGGGUUAACUUGUCUUUUCCUUGUGUGUACUUGUUGCCAAAAAAGAAAAGAAAAUAUAUAUAGAUGUAUACAUAAUGGUAAGAAGAAGAAAACCCAUCUUUCAAAGGGAACUCUUAAAUCCUAACAUAUCAUGUGCAAGAUGAAGCGAAACCAAGAACACUCUAGUCCGUUACUACUUAAUUCAAUACGUAUCCACAUUCCACUACUAUCAAUACAGUAUGCUACUUGAUUCUCUUCAUGGUAAAUCCCCCUUUGUUUCUUUAUAAUUUGUACAUUUUAUACGUUGAUAAUAUUUACGUACUUUACUUUAUUUGUAAUUUAUAUAAAAGUGAAAUCAUAGUCACGUAGGAUCGUUGCAUUUGUUUUAACGUGUAUUUUAAAUAAGUUUAAGAUGUCCCCAUAUAUUCAGAUGAGUUUCAAUAAGGGUUCAUUUGAUUUAA